rnacentral:rRNA from 1 species
CAGUAGCCGCGGGAAUACGUAGGGUGCAAGCGUUAAUCGGAAUUACUGGGCGUAAAGCGUGCGCAGGCGGUCCGCUAAGACAGAUGUGAAAUCCCCGGGCUUAACCUGGGAACUGCAUUUGUGACUGGCGGGCUAGAGUCUUGUAGAGGGGGGUAGAAUUCCAGGUGUAGCGGUGAAAUGCGUAGAGAUCUGGAGGAAUACCGGUGGCGAAGGCGGCCCCCUGGACAAUAACUGACGCUGAUGCACGAAAGCUAGGGGAGCAAACAGGAUUAGAGACCCGCGUAGUCCCUGUCUCUUAUAA